rnacentral:tRNA from 1 species
UGGUGUAGCUCAGUUGGUAGAGCAAUUGAUUUGUAAUCAAUAGGUCGGGGGUGCAAGUCCCUUCACCA